UGCUUCUUAAUUUGUGCUUCUUUUGUUCCGCACGCCUCGGACAGAGCCUUAAUAAUCGAAGCAUCCCCAAUCCCAAGCUCCAAUCCUUCAUGAGCUGGAGCAAUCCGGUUCGCCAAAAGGUAAACAACAGCCACCAAAUCCUCUGGCGUCGUUUCCAUCACAGUCCUCAACAUGUUACAAACAAUUGCAGUUAUCGCAAUCCGCCCUGAUUCUUUAGAAAUAGCAUCCAACGCCUUUGCUACAAACAUAAACGGCACCCUUUGUCCCUUUCCCCAAUAUGCCGCCUUCUUGGGAUCAAAACUUGCCGCCUUAUCCUUCAACUCAAGAAGGCUCUCAUCAGGAGUAAUUGCCACCUUAGGUUUCUUAACCACCGCUUCCUCACUUUUCCCCAGCUGGGCAUCCUUAACCUUGCUCGAAUCGUCAUUUUUCAUAUCUUUUUCCAGCUGGGCUUCUUUAAUUUGAGCUGAAUCAGGUUCUUUGACUGAAAUCGGAGCAGAAUUUUGAGAAGUGAUGAUGGGGGUGGGGGUUUUGCGUUUCUUGGGAGAUGGUUUUUGUUGUUUCUGCUCGGACUUUUUCUUGCUGGCAUUGGACAUGAGGAGGUCGAAGGCAGAAGGGCGAGAAGCCAUUGCUGCUAGUGAUCCUGGAUUAACUAAUGGAAUCGAGAGAAAGAGGGAUCUCUGAGAGAAGGGUUUUGCGGGGAAGGAAGAAUAGAUGAGAAAGUAGGGCUUAAAGCCGAGUGGUUUUCUGAGGGGAUGAAGCGAAAGAGUGUGGUGCGUAAAGUGGAGUGAAGAAGAGCAUGACCUGAAUGCGGUGAGCAACAGCUGCCGUUUUUCUGCUACGGAGAGGGAGACAACUGACACGGGUUGCUGUUGCGGAUGCGGAUGGCUAGGAGGGAAGAGGAAGGCAAAUGGCAGGAAAGGAAAUUGAGGGUUUUGUGCACUUAGGAUUGAAAAUUGCCAGAAAAGCCUUUGGAAAAAAAUUGCUGGGGAAGCCUUUUUUGGUGUUUGGGUGAUGAGUUGUUAGCAAAAUCUUGAGAGAGGGACUAAAAUUUUCAUUUCGUAAGCUAGCAAUAGGUGACUUGAAAUUUGUGAUUUGAAGGUUUGAGGUGUACCCCCCAAAAAAAUAAUAACAAAGUCGUAAGCUAGCAAUAGGCAGACUAGUGAGUUAGUGGUUUAUUAGUGGUUUAUUAUACGUUUUCUUUCACUAUGUUCACACUCUGAAGUCUGAAUUAUUCCAACCCAAUUGAUGAAAAAUGUUUUAAAAAUGUUUAGGACAAGUGCAAUAUCCACAUAGUUUAUUUUUGUGAUAUGUCGCAUCGUGGAGUGGAAACGGCAUGCAUAUAUGCUUGGGCUCGUGAGUUAUCAAGUAAUUUAGAUUAAUCAUAUUUUGUACCAUAAUUUGGCUCAAAAGUUAAUUAGGCCAACCCGUGGAUCAAAAGCGUUACAAUUUUGACUUAUUUUAUUGAUUCAAGUUUGUUCAAAAACUUUUUUUGGUAAAAAAUUUAUGCGACAUGGAAACAUAAUUUGGUGAAUUCACAAAACCAUGUAUAUUGCACAUGCCAAAAUCAGCUCGAAAGUGGAUUGUCCAACCCAAUUGUAAUGAUACAAGUUUUAAAAGAUUAGCAAAGAUGCAUACGAAGGUAUAAAAAGGUGAUUAGCAAAUGUGUUUACGAAAAUUUUUUUUUUUAAAAGAAAACAGUUUUCCAAAAUUUUAACUCUCGCACCCAUUCCUACACUUUUCUACUCCCAACUGUCAAGUUCAGAAUUCGAACUUUGAACUCGACGACGUUGGUCAUUGGACCAAUACCAAUGCUUAAUUUUACCAAACUUGCAAAACAAGAAAUAAGAAAUAAAGACCGACCAAAACGUCUAUAAGUAUACUGAUCAUCACAAAUAAUAUAAAUCUGUUUUGACUUGCCAAACUUAGGUUAUUUGCAUGAGUUUCUUCAUUGUUUUUUAAUUUUAAUAAUAAUUGAUAUCCCUCUUCUGAAGGUCUCUCCAUAGUCUCCACACACGGGGUUGAUGGAACAGUUUUUGAAUGAGAGCCAUUCAAGUCAUGUUGUUGAUUGGAGUUCCAGAAAAAAAAAAACUCCAAAUUCCGUCUGCAACUGGCUGUGGCGGUACGCUGGUAUAGAACAAAAAAUCUAUAAUAAGAUAAACAAUGGAAUGUAGUUGUAAUGAUGAACCCCUACCUAAACCUAAAUAAACGGAAUAAUUAAUACACCACCAAAUCAAUAAUUGUAUCAUAUUCUACAUGUUCUUUCCUUCUCGAACUAGCUUGAAACUGGUUUUGAUACGUCAGGUUUCUUUACAGGGACUAGACUACAACUACUUGUAUGGAGGAAGAAACUCCAAGUUCCUGAGUCCACGAAUUUCGGAUCCCACCAGUGAUUUUUGUGUUGUUGGUCAUGAUUAGUUUCUUCUUAUCUUCUCUCCAGUGCAGGACGGUUGGUCAACUGAACAUGCAAGUUGAUAAUUGCUCAAUUCUUCAAUGAUAAUAAUGUUGAUGAAAAACUCACAAAUUAUGCAGAACGAUCUGGAGCAGAAGGGCCUGCAUUGAUUGCUUAUCAUGAGAAUCCACUUCACUUGGGCAGAGAGCUAGGGGGUGAGCAUGAGAAAUGGCAGCUACCCGUUUGGAUUGCAUUUUCCGUCAUUUUUCAUGGAAAAAUUACUGUAGCGAUUUGAUGUACGUAAGAAAAAAAGAUAAUAGAAAAAUGUGUUCACGAAAAACGACGCAAUUUUCUGUUAAAAAAUGGCAAUCCAAACACACUGGCUUCAACUACUUGGUCCACUAAUAUUGCUGCUGCAUAUGGAGGUUGAGAAACAGGGAUGGUGUUGGUUUGUGGGUCCCCCAUAGACUGACUUUAGGGUCCGUUCUUUCGUUGACUCAUGAGUGUUUCUAAUCUAACUGUGUGUGUUCUUCUUCUGUCUAUAGAAAAAAGAAAGUGUAGUAAACUUUUUUCAUUCUUAUUACUCCCUCUGUCCCACUUGGAUAGUCCUGUUUUUUUCACACAAUUUAAGGAAAAAUAGUUAAUUUUGUUGAAAAAGUAAAUUUAGAUUGCCAUUUUUCUAAAAUAUCCUUACAUUAAAUAUGGUACAACUUUAUGGGAACUUAGAAUUGAUGGUAAAAAAAGAAUAAACUCUCAUUAAAUGGAGUAGAUUUAUAGUAACAACUACUUACAUUGAAUAACGGUAUAUUAGAAAAAUUAAAAUACAACUACAUUCUUCAAUUGAAAAGUGGACUACAAUUUGAGAUACAUGAAAAAGGAAUACAGGACUAUCAAAGUGGGACGGAGGGAGUAUGAUACUUUUAUUAUAGUUCAUAAGCCCAAAAAAAAAAAGAAAGAAAGUGUAGUAACAUUUGAUUCGUAGUCAUUAUAUAUAUUAUUAAAAUGCAUGCAUAUACAUUUAUAAUAUUUUUUUAAUUUAAUUUCACCCUUUCAAAAAAAGUACUACUGUAUGAAAUCUAUUUUGGCAGUGUCCACUAGAUAGCAUUAGACAAUUAAGACAUAAUAGGGAUUGCAAUAAUGUUUUAAAAAAAAAAAAUUUCCAAUCAGUAACCGACACACUACUCAUUUUCCAAAAUCAGCUCUUGUAAUUCCACUUUCACCUGCAGUUCACGGGCUUCCCAUAGAAAAUCCAUCCUAAUUUAAACUGUGCAGUUUUUGCGGGGAGACCAUCCAUCUCCAUCUGGUAGGUCAAGACUUGUAUAGGAUUUAGGCUACUGAUUGAUGAGUCAACAAAAAAAAAAUAAAAAAACAAAAAGAAAGAAUCUUUACCCCUGAAGUUUAAACAAACAAAACAUUAAAUUAUUGUAGACAUGACCUCGUGGAAAUCUGCUCUUAUUAAAAUGUUUUGAAAUUAACCAAGCAGACAAAAGAAGAUUUGGCAUUCCAAGAAAUACAAAAUUAGUGUCAGUUAAUAAGGGUUAAUUUGGUUUCUUUCUCAUGUUUGGUGUCCCUCUUCAUGUUGCUUCGAUUUGGUCGCAUAAAUUACAAAGGAGAGUGACUAAACAAUUGACCAAAAGAGAACAGAACAGAAUGGAACAUUUGCAAUGUUGUCAUGGAGUUCGAUCUGACAAGAUGUGGAGUAGAUCACUCUAUAUUUUAUCGGCAUUCUAAUGCUAGUAAAAUUUUAUUAGUUGUUUAUGUGAAAAAUAUUGUGAUUACAAGUGAUGAUGUUGUGAGGAUCCAGAAACUUAAAUCCAAUCUGCAGGCAAACUUUCAGACAAAAGAUUUAGGUCAUCUACAGUAUUUUUUGUGUAUUGAGGUAGCUCGGUCUAAAUAUGGGAUUUAUUUAUGUCAAAGGAAAUAUGUACUCAAUAUGUUGAGUGAAGUUGGGAUGUUAGGUUGCCGACCUGUGGAUACUCCUAUGGAUCCCAAUGUGAAAUUAGUAGGAGAUCAAGGUGCAUUACUUGAUGAUCCUAAGCAAUAUCGAAGACUUGUGGGUAAAUUAAAUUAUCUCACUGUAACGAGAUCUGACAUUUCAUUUGCAGUGUGUGUUGUGACUCAAUUUCUUGAUGCCCCUCGUACUAGUAAUUGGGAUGCUGUUAUACGAAUUUCCAAGUAUCUUAAGAGUGCUUCUGAGAAAGGGUUGUUGUAUCAAAAUCAUGGACAUACUGAUAUUGAAGGAUAUAGUGAUGCAGAUUGGACUGGUUCUGCCUCAGAUCGAAAAUCGACCAAAGGAUAUUGUGUGUUUGUUGGUGGUAAUUUAGUGUCGUGCAAGAGUAAGAAGCAAACAAUUGUCUCCAGAUCAAGUGUAGAAUCUGAAUGACUCACUGUAUGUGAGUUGGUUUGGUUGAAGAGCAUGUUACUUGAAAUUGAGUUUGAGCAUAAACAGUGAUGCGAACUCGACCCAAUAAGAACCUGUCAUGAAGAACCGAAUCGAUCAGGCAGCGGAAGGAUCUAUCUUGAUCAGGUUAUGGAACAAUAACUACCUUGCUAGACCUAAAGAGAACCUGUCUCUAGAAACCUAGUGGAUUGGUUAUUGGCUUGAAAGAACAAGAUGAUGUGAUCAUCUUGCCUUGAACACCACAAGUAUCCAAGCUAAAUAUUUGAUACUGUUCAAGAAGAAACUCAAGUUCCAUCAAGGAACUCCAUAAAAGGAGACAACUCUCUUUUUAUUAAUUCAUCUUCAAUCUGCUCUCCCAAUAGUUAAAUAAAGUUGGCUAUUUAUAGCCUUACAAGACUCAAAACCCUAAUCUAAAUUGGAAACAAUACAAGUUUUCUUAUUUGACUCGACUUCUAAACUUGACUAAAUCUCCUAAACAAAUUUGGAAGCAAUUAACUGCUUUCCUAAAACUCUAAUUCAACUAGAAUAGGAAACUAACUAAUUCAAAUUGGCUUAACUAUGGUCAACAUGACCCUAGCCUUUAUUCCCUAAUUCAAGCAACUUACUUAACUCUCAAUUUGGAAAUCAAUCAAGAUAUCAAUCAAGAUACCAAUCAAGAUUUGGAAGCCAAUUAAAAUUUGGAACAUUUGGAUCUUCAAUGAUUCUCGAGCCUGAUUGCACCAUCAACCAUCAUUAGAAUGUGAAGACUUGUAAAAUGAAAGGAAUCCAUGUAAAUUUUCAUGUUCUCAUCAUCCCCCUCCUCUUGAAAGACGAUUUGUCCUCAAAUCGAGUGCUUGUUUACAAAGGAGUAACUCGAAGAAUGUCUUGAUAUAUGUAAUCCAAGAAGCAUGACGCCAACUCAACUUGAUUAUGAACACAACCCAUUGCACAUGCUCCAUUUGUCAAAGAAUAUCUUCACCCAAUUGUACUUGGCUAGAAUUUGGAAGUUCAGUUUAGUUGAUUCUUGGAUUCACGUUUGGAAAGCAAAUUGCUAGUUUGAAAAGGUUUCCUAAGUGUAUGUUUGGAUUUUGGCAGCUGAUAAUAUGAACCAAGACUAACAAGAAUUAGAAAUCAAGAAUGUGGAAAUAAAAUUCCAAAUCCCUCUCAAUUUCCAAAUCUAACGCAAGGCUGCCUUUUUUUUUUCUUCUUUCUGUCCUUUUUGUUCUAACUUGCCAAUUCAACAAAACAAGGUAGCCGCACUUCAAGAUUCAAGAGAAUGACUUUUAGAGUUGUCAAAAUCUCAAGAUUUUUUUUUUCAAGAACCCACUAUACAAUCCAAGAACUUCAAGAAAUUAUCAAGCCAACUACAAGAAGUAAGAACAACAAGAAACAAACACAAGGUAUGGAGGAAAAGAAAAAAAAAGAAAAAAAAUUUCGGAUGAACAGUACCGCUACAGUUGCGGUGAUGAACAGUACUGCUAUAGUUGCAAACAGUGCCGAUGACCAGUAUUCUUUUUUUUUUUUUUGACGACUCGAUGCAAGGUUAGGAUUUCACUUGGAAGAAAUUUAAUGGGAGUUAAACCCUUGAAAAACCUGUUUUCAAGAACGUAAUCACACCAAAAAAUUUCAAUCUCGAUCAAUCAAGGGGGGUAAGUUAGACUCAAGUGAUAAAAUAAAAAUAAAUAAAAAACAAGAAUCAAAAUUUUUUUUCCUCUUUAAAUCAAAAGGCGGCUAAGGUUUCGAUAGAAAAAAAAUAGAAAAAUAAGAAAAGAAAAAAGGAUAUUAACCUGAAUCAAGAGCCGAAGCUCUGAUACCAGAUGAUGCGAACUCGACCCAAUAAGAACCUGUCUUGAAGAACCGAAUCGAUCAGGCAGCGGAAGGAUCUAUCUUGAUCAGGUUAUGGAACAAUAACUACCUUGCUAGAUCUAAAGAGAAUCUGUCUCUAGAAACCUAGUGGAUUGGUUAUUGGCUUGAAAGAACAAGAUGAUGUGAUCAUCUUGCCUUGAACACCACAAGUAUCCAAGCUAAAUACUUGAUACUGUUCAAGAAGAAACUCAAGUUCCAUCAAGGAACUCCAUAAAAGGAGACAACUCUCUUUUUAUUAAUUCAUCUUCAAUCUGCUCUCCCAAUAGUUAAAUAAAGUUGGCUAUUUAUAGCCUUACAAGACUCAAAACCCUAAUCUAAAUUGGAAACAAUACAAGUUUCCUUAUUUGACUCGACUUCUAAACUUGACACAAUUUUCUAAACAAAUUUGGAAGCAAUUAACUGCUUUCCUAAAACUCUAAUUCAACUAGAAUAGGAAACUAACUAAUUCAAAUUGGCUUAACUAUGGUCAACAUGACCUUAGCCUUUAUUCCCUAAUUCAAGCAACUUACUUAACUCUCAAUUUGGAAAUCAAUCAAGAUAUCAAUCAGGAUACCAAUCAAGAUUUGGAAGCCAAUUAAAAUUUGGAACAUUUGGAUCUUCAAUGAUUCUCGAGCCUGAUUGCACCAUCAACCAUCAUUAGAAUGUGGAGACUUGUAAAAUGAAAGGAAUCCAUGCAAAUCUUCAUGUUCUCAUCAAACAGCUUAUAAAUCUAGUGUGUGAUAAUCAGGCAGCUGUCCAUAUUGCGUCUAAUCCAGUGUUUCAUGAAAGGACAAAACAUAUUUAAGUUAAUUGUUACUUCAUUCGAGGGAAAUUGCUUGACGGAGUCAUCAAGACAUCUCAUGUACCGUCUGUAGAUCAAUUGGCUGAUUUGUUUACCAAGAAUUUAGGGGGCUCUAGGGUGAAAUACAUUUAUGAUAUAUAUGCUCCAACUUGAGGGGGAGUGCUAGGAGAAUAUCAAUAUUUUUGUAGAUAAUAUUAGUAAGGGUAUUCUUGUAAAUAGUUGGUUAGGUUUGUACUCGUAUAAAUACUAGUUGGUCACUCAUAAUACAGUGACUAGAUGUUUUCCUCCCAAGAUACCUGUUGACAGACUUAAAAAAAUCCAAGAGUCUUUUGCCCAAUGCUAAAAGCAGAUAAAGAUAUAAACAUCAUUGAACAAAAAUUAGCAUACAUGCCUUCGACUGUCAAGCUGUGCUUGUAGAAGAGGUUGGCCAUUGAUAUACAAGAUAUCAAAAGCAUAUAUGCAAACACCAACCUUUAUUUCACUCAAGACCACAUUUUUACGAGCCCGUGUGCUGAGGACCUGCCACCAAUUCAUACUUUUAAGUCUGAAUUUGUAAUACCAUUCUUACAACUCUAGCAUUUCAUCAAGUAACAAUUCAUGUGUGACACUCUUUCCAGCAAAAUGAAAAGCUGAACACCAGAAGAAGCUGGCUCCUUAAUGACAAGAAAUAUACUUAGAAGGAUAAAGUGUAGAGACAACAUAUGUUUAGGAAACCUAAGUGUGUCCCCUUUAUCCUCCUGGUGGGUGGUAGGGACAUGGUCAGUGGAAAAGAAUAGCCUGAUAUAUAUAAAUCAGUAAAAUUUGUGGACAUGUUACAAGAUUAAGCCAAGGCCCCUGAUGGAGACUAAUGAUGGUCUGUUUGCCAAAGCAUGACUUGAAUUACCUAAAAGAAACUAAAAAAAGUGCUUAUACAAAAGCAUCAAAUCAAAUACAAUAUAUUCCAAAUUCAAUUUUCAAGUUGUUUGGCCUAACAUCCAUGUAGCAUCAUCACCCCUCAAAGUGUAAAUUCCUCAUUUGAUCAACAAAAAGUAACCCAAUUAGUAAUGAAUAUGAAAUCUACCCUUAGUCAUAUUCAUCAAAAUUUCACCACCUUCAAAUAUUUUAGAGCAGACACUGGACAGAUCAAAUUGGCCGAAACUUUAAUACCUCAACACUCAAAAAUCUCCAGUUCCUAUCAUAGAAAAUCAAGAAUUAUAUGACAUCAACUGACUCAAAUGAAGCACCUGAAAUAGAUGCAAGAAAGAAGUUGCACGUGUAGUUUCAAGAUAUCCCAUAGGGGGACUGAAGGUGUCGGGAAGCAUUUCAUGUGACAGGCCCCAGGCAUGCCCUAUUUAAGUUCAUGAUGAGAUAGCCCAUAAUAGAUAGCCCUAGGAUUUUGAGCAUGCUCAAUACCAAGAUGAUUCUUACAGCACCCAAAGUUGUUGAGUUCACAAACGAAAAACAAAGAUGACUCGACCACUUUCUUCCCAAUACAGGAUUGAAGGAGAUUUGUUACUUUGCCAAUUUAAUACUUCAGCAUUGAUUGUACAUAAAUUAUUAAAAUUGUAUAUGUUGUUGUCAUAUGCCACAAUAAAGAUCAUGAAGGCUACACAAUAAGCAAUGCUAGAGCCAGAAUGGGAGACUUAAAUCAGUUAGCAAUCGAUUUUUCUAUUUAACUUCAAUUGUUCUGAUGUGCUAGCAUAGUUAAAAGGACCACUUCAGCAGGCCCAUGACAAAAUCAAAUUUACAAAGAUCUUGCACUUAGGCAAGCUCAAUAUUACAGAAGUAAACAGUUCACCUGGAAGGGGAGAAUUUUUUUCUUCUCACGAUCAAAUGCAACAAUUUCACAAUCAAGAACAAAUGAGGUUACAGACGGCCUUUUAAACCUGCAAUAAAACAGCUAAAUGUCAGGAAAAUUGAGAGAGAUUUUCUGGCAGACUUUUAAUGUUAGUAGGAAACAACUAGUCAUUCUUAAAAAUAAUCUCUACUGAUAUACUCUCAUACCCAACUAUGUAAAUUAUGUUUCUGCACAUUAAGAAAGCAAUAGACUACAAAAACCCAUCAUGAGAAGGCCCACCACAGCAGUGAAAGUACAGUGCUAAGCUCACACUGCCUUACUCAACCAAGUAAAGAGACUCUUCCUAUUCAUCAAACCAUUAACCAGCUUGUGACAGCAUGUUCCAAAUCAAAGUUGGAAUGGGCUACAAUAAAAGUACCUUGAAAUUGCAUCCACAACAUCAGGAUACUUUCCAGUGUUUCUUUCUGCAUUUCGACUAUAUAUCUCCACUGUACCAUCCUCCAUGUAGUGAAUCUGCAGGACAUGGUUAGACAAACACACAUCACCAAGACUGUGAAAGGAAAGGCAUAUAACAUAGGCGUCAUGUCUAGUUUCUUGCUACCUGAGCACGUUCUCCAUCAUACUUGUAUUCACAGGUGAAUUCAAUAUCCUGAAACUUAUCCAAUAUUUCAGAAACUCCCUUAGUUCGUUUUGCUAGCAUAGGUCCAACAGGAACACCAGGUGAAAAGCUACAUGUCUUGGGAAGAUCCCAUACACCAUCAGCAAGAAGAGCAUGGAUUAUUUUAUCAUAGACUGGAAUUACCGAGUAAACUUGUUUCACGAUUUUAGCAGCCUAAGGGAAGGAAAGCAAUUUCACAACAUGUUUAUGCAAUAAAAAAAAACUCUCUUAAAUUUGCACAUAGUAUUAGCACAAUAAUAAAAUCUAAUUAAAAAAUUGAUUCAAACUCUCUCAGAAGUUUAAAUUCAUGCCAAGAUACCUCUUCUAAAGAAGAAUCUAUAUUUGCAGGAGUUGAAGAUUGCUUAUCAGCAUAAACUGCAGCAUGGCCCAAAGCAGCUAACAGAGUUUGUUCAGCUAAACCAAUGCGCAGUUUAGCCUGCAUGUAGAGUUCAAGAAUAAUUUUCAGGGAUUAAAGGUGCCAAUUUGUGAUAUUAGAUCUUCAAUUGUCUCACCUGGAGCAGACGAAUCAAGUACUGAGGUUCACAAUCAGUAGCAGCAACCAGUAGUGCCUUGAUAUGAUUCUUUUUCUUCUCUUGACUAUCCUUACCAGAUUCCUAAUGCAAAUCACGUAGAGAUACAUUUACAAAACUAAAAGAAGUAAACCGUUAUGCUCUUCUCUAGAUCAAUAAAUUAUAAGUUAAUAUACAAGCACCAAUUCAUGUGCAUAUCUCGGCUGAUUACCCAUCAUCCCAAAAAAAAAGCCUCUCUCUCUCCCCCCUGAUGUUCAACUUUUCUCACCCGUCUCUCUCUCUUCCGUUUCCUCUGUAAUCUUUAUCUUAUUCUCGCUCUCUCUCUCUCUCUCUCUACCUAUGCUUCUCUUGCCACCCUCGCAACUUUCACUUUUACCUCCUAACCCAUCCUCUCCUCUACCGGUCAGCCCUCCAUUCAACAUGCAAUGACCAUGGAAGCCAAGCUAGAGAUAGAUAAUUGAGGUUUUUUUUUUUAUUGGUCUCAUAGUAGAUCAGCCUUUCCUACAUGUUAACAGUGUUGUGGGGGUGUUGUUGGGAAUUCAUGAUGGAUCAAAGUUUUGAUUAACAGUUUGUGGUGAUUUUGGCGGUUUUGCAGAUAUAUGAAAUUUUGAAAAAAUAGUGUGUUGUCAUUUGAAAUUGGUGGGGAUUAGUGGGAUGAUUCAAAGAGUUGAAAACAUUUCUAGUUUGGCAAGAAUGGAUGUGAUGUUAGCAGCUGCUUUUGUUGUUUGUUGUUGGCUGAGUUUUUUUUUUUUCAAUUUCGUUGUUGGCUGAGUUCGGUGGCGGUCUAGUUGCAGUCAUACAGAGUCCAUUUGGGAAGAAAGAUAACAAAGUUGGCAAAAGGGGGCAAAGAAUUAGCUAGACAUACUAAAAAAAAAUUCAGUGGAUUCCUAUUUCACCACAACAAACCAAACAUACGAAAAGAAGUUGCUAAAACCCAUUACGAUUGAGGACCUUUGAUACUCAUUGCUACUGCCAUUCCAGAAUACCAACCAAACAGGUAGUUAGUGUACUCUAGCUCUAAAACAUUUCAAAAAAUAGAUUUCAAGUUUCAUGUAUCGAAACCAAUAAAGGCAGCUAUGAAUAUCUUAAGGAAUAAGGCAAUCCAGUUUAACUCUCAUCUACAGCGAAUAAGAUCAAAGCUCAUCAUCGAAGUCCAUGAAAUGGGAAAAUUCCAAGGUACCUUAGCAAUAAGGCGAAAUGUAUCAAAAACUUUAACAACAGUUAGUGCUUCUGGUUUGCGCAUUAAAGACUGAGACGAACGGCUUGCUUUUGCAACAAGGCCUAGAUCACCAAGCUCCUGAGGCAAGUCGGAUAGUGAAGUAAUCCUUCAAAAUCAAAAAGAAGAAAGAAAUUGCGGGCAAAAACUUGCAGGAUUUUGAUAUGUCAGGAGAUUCCUGCACACAAAUUAUUAAGCAAAUAUAACUCGACUACACCAUUCGGAAGCUUUGAAUGAAAUUCUGCUCCUCUAACUACAAAAUUUCUUAAAACAAGUGCAGUGUACUCAUUGCAGAAAGAUCAGCCAGAGCCUUCCAUUAAAUCAAGCAACUAGAGUCACAGAAGUCAAGUAAAUCAUAAAGAGAAUAAAUGAUAAAUAUUUUUUUGCAAAUUGUAUCUUAGAUCAAUUAAAAAAAAAAAUUUCCAGACAAGCUACAACGUACAAAAUGUAACAACAACCAACGUACAGCUGCAGCCAAAGAAAGUAACAAGGUAAAACUAAAGCAGCUUCUCAAAUAAUGCAGUUAUUUCGUAGAACCAAAAUCGAGCCCAAAACUAAAAUCACAGGCAAAGGGUCGAAUGUUUUUGACAUCAACAUAGCACCAAAGCUAAAUUCAAAAUAUUCAAUUAAAUGUGGCAUUUGACUGGACAAGCUUUUUUUCUAAUCCCAUUCUUGAUAAUUUGUAUAAGAACAAUAGUGCUGUACUGAGUUAGUAGAUACCUUGGAAACCGAAUCAGACAACACAAUAAUCACCAUAGCAGCAUUCUACAGCAUUGAAGCCACAGCUAGGCAGAGACCUAAAUACAGCGUGGGACUUAUGUUUCUUUCUCCUCCCCUAUUCUCCAUCUCAUUUAUUAAUGUUUUGCAAUUAAUGAAACAAGGCCAAAAAUCUCUAGAAUUUCAUUUACUAGAACUGAGAACAAGUUACCAGCGAUCAUUCUGUCAUUUCACUUGAGGUACAAUUUCUUUAAUUUCUUGGCAUCGAGUUAAGAAAAGCCAACUCCACAAACAAUAAUAUUCAGAGAUAAGAAAAGAAAUUCAAUCAGUUCUAAACCACACCCAAGAUUUGAUAAACACGAGUGACUGGAAUGUAGUAGAGUUUCACCUUGUACUGCUUCUUAAUUUGUGCUUCUUUUGUUCCGCACGCCUCGGACAGAGCCUUAAUAAUCGAAGCAUCCCCAAUCCCAAGCUCCAAUCCUUCAUGAGCUAGAGCAAUCCGGUUCGCCAAAAGGUAAACAACAGCCACCAAAUCCUCUGGCGUCGUUUCCAUCACAGUCCUAAACAUGUUACAAACAAUUGCAGUUAUCGCAAUCUGCCCUGAUUCUUUAGAAAUAGCAUCCAACGCCUUUGCUACAAACAUAAACGGCACCCUUUGUCCCUUUCCCCAAUAUGCCGCCUUCUUGGGAUCAAAACUUGCCACCUUAUCCUUCAACUCAAGAAAGCUCUCAUCAAGAGUAAUUGCCACCUUAG
rnacentral:lncRNA from 1 species